UACGAAGGGUGCAAACGUUGCUCGGAAUUAUUGGGCGUAAAGCGCACGUAGGCGGCUCUGCAAGUCGGAUGUGAAAUCCCUCGGCUCAACCAAGGAAGUGCAUCCGAAACUGCAAGCUUGAGUACCAAAGAGGAUCGCGGAAUUCCCGGUGUAGAGGUGAAAUUCGUAGAUAUCGGGAGGAACACCAGUGGCGAAGGCGGCGAUCUGGGUGGAUACUGACGCUGAGGUGCGAAAGCGUGGGGAGCAAACAGG
rnacentral:rRNA from 1 species